UUAUAAUAACAUUACUUAAAGAUGGGGUGGGUCAUUUUGGGGAAACCAGCUCGAGUGCGCUAGAAUUUGAAAAUACACAGCCGGAAAAAAUCUGCCACUUCCUUACAGAGCCCCUCC